GAUUAACGCUGGCGGCGUGCAUAACACAUGCAAGUCGAACGAUGAAAUUUAAAUGAUUUCUUCGGAAUGAACUUAAGUGGAUUAGUGGCGGACGGGUGAGUAACGCGUGAGUAACCUGCCUUACACAAGGGGAUAGCCGUUGGAAACGACGAAUAAUACCCUAUGAAACUAUCACUUCGCAUGAAGCGAUAGUCAAAGUGUUAGCGGUGUAAGAUGGACUUGCGUCUGAUUAGCUAGUUGGUGAGAAAAAAGCCCACCAAGGCAACGAUCAGUAGCCGGCUUGAGAGAGUGUACGGCCACAUUGGGACUGAGACACGGCCCAGACUCCUACGGGAGGCAGCAGUGGGGAAUUUUGCACAAUGGGGGAAACCCUGAUGCAGCGACGCCGCGUGAUUUAGAAGGCCUUCGGGUUGUAAAAAUCUUUUGUAUAGGAAGAAAAUGACAGUACUAUACGAAUAAGGUCCGGCUAAUUACGUG
rnacentral:rRNA from 1 species